AUCCAAAUCCUAACAAUGUUGAAAUAUGUCGAAACUACGGGUGCAUUUCUGUGACGUGGUUCGAGAUGUGUUUUAAAUGACGUUGUAAUAUUCUUUAAAAAGUUAAAGAAAAGCAGUUUUAAAAGUCAAACAUUACACAGGCACAAAAAUGCAUUAAAAUCAGAUAAUCAAGCCAAAUAUAACAGUUGAGCGACCGUGCUAGAACCACGGCACUCGGGAAUGCCUAACACCUUCUCCUGAGUUAACAGAAUUCCUUACCCAGAUUUCUGGUUCGCAGACUGUUAAACAGAGUCAAACCUU
rnacentral:lncRNA from 1 species